CAAUAUAUUACUUUUUAGGAAUGCCGAAUGGAGAGAGCGAAGAGGCGCGGAUCGUCAUCUCCGGCCAGACUGCCGUCGCCAAGCUGGCGCUCGCGCAGCGAGAGUGAAGGUGUGUCGAGGGGUGAUUUUGUUUUGCCAUUGGUCUGUCGAGGGCGCUUCACCAGCUUGACAUUGUGAAUAGCACCCACUCAGGAAUGGCGAGUGGAUGCUACUGGAUUUCUUUUUUUCUUUGAAAGAGGACUAAACUUGAAACUGUUUGGAAUACACGGCUGGAGCGUUCUUGGACGAGCUACUUACAAAGUGACUCCGAGGGGACAACUUCCAAUUGUUGUUUAUUGCGGUGGAAAGGAACCCUUUUUCCUACCACUUCCAAGCAACGAGUGAAGCUAUAACGCCAUGGUUUUGUUUCGUAGGUACUUCCAAAGGAGAGCCCGGAGAUUACUGCUCAAGUUGAUACGGAAGUUUCCAAGGCGGGUGACUGGGACGGAGCGCUUGAUAUUUUCUGGAGAAAGCAGGAGAUCUCUCGACUGCCAGGAGCCUCACUCGCGAUGACUGGUAUCGCCUCCGGAGAGCACUCUCAAUCAUCAAGUUUGCAGGCAUCCGAAGAACUUGGGACAUAGAUAAUGGACUCUGCUCCAGAGAGCUCCUGUGCUGCUUUCUCUACAGGCGCGGCGUUGAUCUUUACAGGGCGAUUAGAUACGAAGAAAUGCUGGCCUGGCUGGAACACGAUCAAAUAGUUGGCCUGACGUGUGUUUUCAUUUUUUUCUCUACAGAAAACGACGAGAGCGGUCGUGGUAUGCUGGCUGAGGAGCCAUGGCUGCUUCUCUGGCCAUCGCAUAUCAACAGGUGACUCGAUCAACUCUAGGCAGUCUUCAUCGUACAGGCAAUGGAGCACUUGAAUGAGAGCCGAUGCGCUGGCGGUCUGUCAUCCGAGGGAGCUUCCAGGAAUUAUGCCCGGCAGCAGCUGAUCGCUCCGUCACGAGCCUCUCUCUCAGUGGAUAGACGCUUCAUAAUUGAGCUCCUCUCUUUCUCUACACCCAUUCAAUGAUUCAGAAGCCUCUCACUCAAUCUUCGUUUAUAACUUUGCAGCAAAGGAGCCUCGAUUUCCUGUAAAGAUCGAGUCGCCUCUCGCCCGAAGCGAUAGCCAGGAAGGAGCUCUGGCUUUUAAAGUCUUGCGUCGCCAAGAACAAGCAAGCAACAGCCACGACCUUGGCUAAAAACACCGAGUCUGUUCCGUUGUGUGUGUGUAGGAUCCUCGAGCGCUCGCAUCCCUCCAACUCUGGAAUGGGUCAGGGUACGUAGAUCAGCAUUUCUUCAUUGAAGGUUAAAAGGCACUGGGUGGUUUAAAUUAAUCAAUACUAUGUUUCUGCAA